AUGCGUCAGCCACCCGGUUUUGUUGAUCCUGCUCAGCCACAUCAUUUGUGUCGUCUUGACAAAGCUCUGUAUGGACUGAAACAGGCCCCUCGUGCGUGGCAUGCACGUCUUGGCACUGCUGUUCGUGCUCAUGGGUUUGUGCCUUCUGCAGCGGACACGUCUUUGUUUAUCUUUCAGCGACCGGAGGUGACUAUGUACAUUCUGGUCUAUGUUGAUGACAUCAUCCUUCUUAGUUCGUCCGCUGCUGCUACGGAUCGGCUUGUGUCCUCUCUUGGUGCUGAGUUUGCUGUUAAGGACCUUGGCAGACUGCAUUAUUUUCUGGGUCUGGAAGUUCUUCCUUCUGAUGGUGGUUUGGCUCUUACUCAGAAGAAGUACUCCCAGGAUCUUCUACAUUGUGCAGGUAUGUUACAGUGCAAGCCUGCUAUGAAUCCCAUGUCUGUCACAGACAAACUGACCGCUCUUGCUGGUGACUUGCUAUCUCCUGAGGAUGCCACUGAGUACCGCAACAUCGUUGGUGGGUUGCAGUACUUGCUUAUCACUUGA
rnacentral:rRNA from 1 species